rnacentral:rRNA from 1 species
UACAGAGGGUGCGAGCGUUGUCCGGAAUCACUGGGCGUAAAGGGCGCGUAGGUGGUGGCUUAAGCGUGCGGUGAAAGCUCGGAGCUCAACUCCGAGUCGGCCGUGCGAACUGGGCUCACUGGAGCAUAGUAGAGGCAGGUGGAAUUCCGGGUGUAGCGGUGGAAUGCGUAGAGAUCCGGAAGAACACCGGUGGCGAAGGCGGCCUGCUGGGCUAUGGCUGACACUGAGGCGCGACAGCGUGGGGAGCAAACAGGAUUAGAAACCCGG